rnacentral:lncRNA from 1 species
CAAACUACAACAAAAGCAAAGCGUUUAAACACUACAAUUAAGUAAUUAAUGAAAUAACAUAUGUAUUAAUUGUCAAAAUAUAAAAAAUAACCAUAAACCUUGAAAAAUAUCAACCAAAACUUUCAUGCACUUCAUAAACAAUCAAUAUGCUAAUCUGAUUUUAAUAUGCAAAUACCAAGAAAGAAGCACAAUCCAUUUGCAAGAAUUUUCAUCCAUUCACAAUCCAUUUGCAAGAAUUUUUAUCUAAUUAAGACAAUUGUCUGCUAACUUUAUCUUAUUUGUAUGAUGUGUUUUUUAUUUUUACAAAUACUGAAUUAUUUUUGUCAGAUUAAAAUUUUCAUCAACUUACCCAUAAAAGUGGAGAAAUUUCAAGUAUUCUAAAAUUCAUUUCCUUAUAUAAUGUUUUCAAUCAUUGAAUCCUAAAUUGAUGACAAAAUUAGAAUUUACGGAAAAAUAUAUGCAAUCUUAACCCAAACCUCAAUUUUAUGUCUUUUUUUUACGUAAAUAUGUAAGGAAACAUUUUUAAAGCAGUUUGCAGACUAUUACUGUAAUCUGAUCUCAUUUAACAAUACCUGGUAUAACAAAAUCAGAUUAACAUAUUAUUCCUUCAGUUUACAACUUUUACAGAUAUAUCUUAAUCUAACCAACAAAUUCAAAAGUUACAGUGAGUGAAAACCUAUCUAAACUGAACCCAUAAGACCCUUCCUAAAUUUCAGGCAAUUUAAAUAUAAUUUUAUUUUUUUAUUGUAGACAAUCUUUGUUUGUUACUUUUUUGUGUAUCAAUGGACUGUCUUAUGAAACAGUUUUUGUUGCAGGUACCUUGCGUGUCCUUAUAUUUGUUUUUCAUAUAAUUUGCCUAUGAGGCAUAGACCAAUUGAUUGUGAAAUUGAAAAUCUUUUCCAAUUGAUAUGUUUCUAGGAAAGUCCAUUCUGCAGAUUGUUAAUAUUUCACACAUUAAAGGGUUCUGUUUGAAUAGGUUAAGACAAACAACUGAUACAUAUAUGUACAGAUCUACAUUCCCUAAAUUAAUUGAACUUUUUGGUUUCUAAAAGGCAUCAAAGGUAUUUGAAAAAAAAACCACCAAAAUUAUGUAGGAAUGUAAUCAAAUGGCACAGUUUAAAAACACCAAUUAAAUAUAUUCUAUAAAAGACAAUUAUAACAAUAUACACCGGAUUUCUAUUAUAUUUUAUAUAAAUGCACCAAGUAAUCAUGUUACAUCCAUCCCCAAACUAACUUGGCCGAUGGAUAAAAGUUUAAUCUAAAUUUACAUCUGUUAUCUUCAGAUGAGAAAAAGAAGAUUGGCAAGAACUUUAAUAAAAAAAACAAGAAAUAACAAUAACAUAAAAAUAAAAUACUUUAUAGUGAGUAUCACUUAAAAAAUUGCUUAUUUAAAUUUGUUGCGUAGUUUUUAUCUGAGAACAAAAAAAAACUUAAAAACAAAUAAUAAAAAAUAAUAAAACCAUCAAAUAUAAGAUUUAAACAUUUUUACAAAAGUGUUGCGUAGCAGUUAUCUGAGCACUCAAACAGCUUAAAAAAUGUCAAAACAAACGCCUUUUUAGUUUCAGUGAACAAAAAAGCUUUUUAAUAAUGAUGAGUUGUCUUCAAAGAAGGAGUUGGGGGUAGUUCAAAAUUUAUUUCUGUAGAUCUCCAGACUUGAUGUGCAUGGCUUCAAUUAUAACUUUGUUGAGACAAAUUUGAAAAAAAAUAUGAAAGGUAGGGGAAUAGAUUUGGUUUAAUAAUGUGUAUGUCAAAUAUUUGAGGAUUUACUGAGUCUUAAAUUUGAGAUGUUAUUUGACCGACACUCUGAAGGUGUUGUUUUAAAAUAACAAAAGAAGACCUAAAAAGUAGUUAGAACUUUCAACUUUACAUCAAUAUCUUGGAAAAAUUUCUAUCAAUAAAUAAUAUAUCCUUUUUUUUUUAAAUUGUCAAAUUUGUUUUGCAAAUUUGCUAUCUUUCACUUGAAUCUAACAAGUUUUAAAACAUUACCUUGAAAUAGAUUUGUCAUCCAAAUCUUUUAUGUCAGCCAGAAUGAUUUUCAAAGAAAGUAUUCAAAUGCAAAAUAUGGUUCCUAUAACAGGUAUAUUGAAACGUUUUUUUGCCAAUUGUCUGGAAAUGAAUAAUCAAUUAUUAUGACAUGUGUAGUACUUACAGUAUAAGACCCAUAUUGUGAGCCUGUCCAGUUAUAUAUUAGCCUUUAUCUAUUCUAAUUUCAGGCCAUGCACAAAAAGUCCAAAUAUUCCCCUAUAUAUUUUGCACACUUGUCUUACACUGAUCCAAUAUAACUCAAAAUAUCUUUACAUUUUGUCAACUAACACAUUUAUAUUAAUUAAAUUAAGAUCAAACAUGUAUUAUAUAAAUAAAAAAAAUGUAAAUGUACAAAAAUUGAAACUUACGAGACAAAAGAAAGUGCCAAAUAUCUAAUUUCAUGACAAUAAAUUAUUAACUAUUUUCCAAAAUUUUUGUUUUGUACUUUGUAAAUCAUCAUUAAUAUAACAUUCAUGUGCAAUAUUUCAAUUUACUUUUAUUUAUAAAAAAAAGAAUAACCUGCAACUUUUCUUCUGCCUCUAAUAUUAGUCAACGUUUAGCAAUAUUUCUUUGAAUAAUACCAAUAAUGUACAAGCUGAGACCAACAAUGCUAUUCAUGAGUAUAUUAACAGCUAAUGAUGCUGAUUUUACAUUUACAAAGCCAUUUUUCUGAUGACUGCUUCUGCAUAUAUGUUUAUAUACUUAAGUGUGUGUGCAUAUUCUAUAUUUUAGAUUUAAUUUGUUUUGAGACUGUAUGACCAAGCAAAGUGAAAGACAAAAUAUUUUUAAAAAUGCAUCCUUAGUCCUGUUAUUUUUUUAAAAGGUAUGCUUGUUUUAUAUUUAUAUAAAUCAAUUUAUUAACCAUGUUAAAGGUGCACACAUCACUUCUGAUUACACAUUUGAUCCAACAUACUUUUAUAACUACUGUUUAUAGAUAUAAAAUAUUUUGAUAUUGAUAUAUAUUUUGUAUACAUAAAUAUUGAUAAUGAACAUUAUUACGGCACGUAUACUAACAUUUCUGCAGCAAAAAAAGCAAAAUUUUCUAAAAUCUAAAUUGUGAAAAAACCAUGUAAUACAACAAUAUAUCAUCAUUAAAUCUUUAAUCUUUAUCUUCAAGCUCUAACAAUUAACAAUCUGAUAAAUAUAUACAAACUAGAGGCUCCUAGGAGUCUGAAUUGCUCAUAUGACAUUGAUAUUUAUUUUAAAAUAUAUAACUUUCAGAGUUCCUCAUUGAGAUAACAUAAGCAACCUACAGAAUUAUUUGUAGAUAACAGUUUGCAUUUCACAGUUUCUUUUUGUCGGUUAUUAUUUUCAAGAAAAUAUCUGAGAACACUCUAGUUUUCUGAUAAUAUUUCAACAAAUUGACAGUAAAACACAAUACAUUUGAUUAUAUUUUUUUUUUACAGUUUUCGGUAGAUAUUAACUUUUCUUUUCUUUUAAAUUUUAUCAUGUUACUACAGCAAAAAGUUUAAAAUGGUCCAACAUUGUCUUUUAUGGACAUGUUAACACCUAUAAAGGGAACGUUAAUAGUUCAGGCCUACUUGUAUUUAUGAGGUUUUGUAUUAAUUGGCAAUCAUUUUUGCAGCCUUAGAUUUUGUCUAUCUGUCAUACUUUCAAGAUAGAUGUGUAAAUGUUGUAUCAGGAAAAAACAAUAAGGGCAAUAACUCUUAUGAGUGGAAAAUUGAAGGCAACAAAACUAUAAAAUUGGACAAUAAUUGGUGUUUGAAGGAAUUCCUUCCUUUUGGUUGUUGAUUGAUGGUUUAAAUUACAUCAGCAUGUCUAUACAUAUUUUUUUACUGAUUAUUUUGUUCAUAACUUUCAUUUAAGCCAAACAUGCUAUAUUUAGCCAUAGAGGCCAUGUUAAAUUGAUAAGGAGGUUUUGGACAAAAAAUAUAGAUUUUUACACUUUAUGAAUUAUGCAGACCAAGUUUGAUUCCAAUUGGCCUUUUCAAAUAUCUUGUGUAUUCUGGGUAAUUUUUUCAAACACUUACACCAAAUGUUGUGAUUGCUUUAAAACAUCAUUUACAAAGAAAACAAAGAUAUAACCUGUUGUCCUUGAGAUUUUAAAACCAACAUGCCAAAUGGUUUGAGAUGAAUCGAUUUGUAAAUCAACAUAUGCCAAGUGAUACACCACAGGUAAAAAAAAAAAAAAAUAUAAAAGGUUUUUUUUAACUGCAAGAAUGCAAAUACUGAACAAAACUUAUAAAAAUAAAAUACAUAAUAUUAAUUAAAACUAACUCAUUAUAACAGUCUUAUAAAAGGACAAAUUAGUUAUGUACAACACUUUAUACAUUUUAUUCCCACACAGAACUUCUAAAAAUUGCUCAUGUCACAAUUACAAUGAAUACUAUAUAAAGAUGUGGGGUGAUUGUCAAAAUAGUAUAUUCACCAAAAAAAAUAAAUGAAAGUGAUAUCCAUAUUUAUGUUCCUUCAAUUACAUAGGUAGUUGUUAUUGGAGAUUAUUUCAGUAUCCUAAGGCUGACACUAAGGACCCUGUUGUUAGUCCUGAACUUUUAACUUUAUGGCUGAGGAUUUUUAAGAGACACUAAAAACUUUAUUGUCCUUGUGACUUAGACCUGAAUUUUUCAGUUCAAAGUUCCAAACUUUUCAGCACUUACCCUGGUGAGAACAUGGAUAUGAAUAUUGAACUUUGGAUAUUUUGAUUAUAUCUAAAUAUUUCAUGACAUUUUUUUUUUAUUUAAUUUCCUCCAAUUAUUUUGUUUGUCUACAGUUAAAAUAAUUCUUUCAUUCCUUUCUUUUAUAGUUUACCAUAUAUGGCCUAAAAAUUUAUUUUUGAAUAUUUUAUGACAUAUGUAGCCAUUAUGUUUAAUAUUAGACUUUGUCUUGAUAUUAAAUCAAACAUGAUUAUCUCAAAAAAGUGUUCACACCCUUCACUCUGUUUUAUAUUUAGAUGAUUUAGAUCUAUAUAAAUCAAAUGUCAUAGACUAAAUUUGAAGAAAAAAAAAUAAUAGAUCCAUGAACAUAUUAUGUG